rnacentral:rRNA from 1 species
UGGCGGCGUGCCUAAUACAUGCAAGUCGAACGGUCUUUCUAUGGAAGCUUGCUCCACUGAGGAGAUAGUGGCGAACGGGUGAGUAACACGUGGGUAACCUGCCCAUAAGGAGGGGGAUAACAUCCGGAAACGGGUGCUAAUACCGCAUAGUUUUCUUGAUCGCAUGAUCGGGAAAGGAAAGACGGCCUUUGUGCUGUCGCUUAUGGAUGGACCCGCGGCGUAUUAGUUAGUUGGUGAGGUAACGGCUCACCAAGACGAUGAUACGUAGCCGACCUGAGAGGGUGAUCGGCCACAUUGGGACUGAGACACGGCCCAAACUCCUACGGGAGGCAGCAGUAGGGAAUCUUCCGCAAUGGACGAAAGUCUGACGGAGCAACACCGCGUGAGUGAAGAAGGGUUUUUCCGGAUCGUAAAACUCUGUUGUCAGAGAAGAACAAGUUGGAGAGUAACUGCUCCAGCCUUGACGGUAUCUGACCAGAAAGCCACGGCUAACUACGUGCCAGCCGCUGC